GACGAACGCUGGCGGCGUGCUUAACACAUGCAAGUCGAACGGAAAGGCCCUGCUUUUGUGGGGUGCUCGAGUGGCGAACGGGUGAGUAACACGUGAGUAACCUGCCCUUGACUUUGGGAUAACUUCAGGAAACUGGGGCUAAUACCGGAUAGGAGCUCCUGCUGCAUGGUGGGGGUUGGACAGUUUCGGCGGUUGGGGAUGGACUCGCGGCUUAUCAGCUUGUUGGUGGGGUAGUGGCUUACCAAGGCUUUGACGGGUAGCCGGCCUGAGAGGGUGACCGGCCACAUUGGGACUGAGAUGCGGCCCAGACUCCUACGGGAGGCAGCAGUGGGGAAUAGUGCACAAUGGGCGGAAGCCUGAUGCAGCAACGCCGCGUGCGGGAUAACGGCCUUCGGGUUGUAAACCGCUUUCGCCUGUGACGAAGCGUGAGUGACGGUAAUGGGUAAAGAAGCACCGGCUAACUACGUG
rnacentral:rRNA from 1 species